rnacentral:tRNA from 1 species
GCCGUGGUAGCUCAGCCUGGGAGAGCGCGCGAUGGUAAACCGCGUUGUCGCCGGUUCAAAAAUGCAGUGAGAGUCCGGCCCACGGCACCA